GAUGAACGCUGGCGGCGUGCCUAAUACAUGCAAGUCGAGCGAAUGGAUUAAGAGCUUGCUCUUAUGAAGUUAGCGGCGGACGGGUGAGUAACACGUGGGUAACCUGCCCAUAAGACUGGGAUAACUCCGGGAAACCGGGGCUAAUACCGGAUAACAUUCUGAACCGCAUGGUUCGAAAUUGAAAGGCGGCUUCGGCUGUCACUUAUGGAUGGACCCGCGUCGCAUUAGCUAGUUGGUGAGAUAACGGCUCACCAAGGCAACGAUGCGUAGCCGACCUGAGAGGGUGAUCGGCCUCACUGGGACUGAGACCCGGCCCAGACUCCUACGGGAGGCAGCAGUAGGGAAUCUUCCGCAAUGGACGAAAGUCUGACGGAGCAACGCCGCGUGAGUGAUGAAGGCUUUCGGGUCGUAAAACUCUGUUGUUAGGGAAGAACAAGUGCUAGUUGAAUAAGCUGACACCUUGACGGUACCUAACCAGAAAGCCACGGCUAACUACGUGCCAGCAGCCGCAGUAA
rnacentral:rRNA from 1 species